UGGGGAAUAUUGGACAAUGGGCGAAAGCCUGAUCCAGCCAUGCCGCGUGUGUGAAGAAGGUCUUCGGAUUGUAAAGCACUUUAAGUUGGGAGGAAGGGCAGUAAGCGAAUACCUUGCUGUUUUGACGUUACCGACAGAAUAAGCACCGGCUAACUCUGUGCCAGCAGCCGCGGUAAUACAGAGGGUGCGAGCGUUAAUCGGAUUUACUGGGCGUAAAGCGUGCGUAGGCGGCUAAUUGAGUCGGAUGUGAAAUCCCCGAGCUUAACUUGGGAAUUGCAUUCGGUACUGGUUAGCUAGAGUGUGGGAGAGGAUGGUAGAAUUCCAGGUGUAGCGGUGAAAUGCGUAGAGAUCUGGAGGAAUACCGAUGGCGAAGGCAGCCAUCUGGCCUAACACUGACGCUGGGGUACGAAAGCAUGGGGAGCAAACAGG
rnacentral:rRNA from 1 species